rnacentral:rRNA from 1 species
UACGAAGGGGGCUAGCGUUGUUCGGAAUUACUGGGCGUAAAGCGUAUGCAGGCGGAUCUUUAAGUCAGGGGUGAAAUCCCGAGGCUCAACCUCGGAACUGCCUCUGAUACUGGGGAUCUUGAGUCCGGGAGAGGUUAGUGGAACUGCGAGUGUAGAGGUGAAAUUCGUAGAUAUUCGCAAGAACACCAGUGGCGAAGGCGGCUAACUGGCCCGGUACUGACGCUGAGAUACGAAAGCGUGGGGAGCAAAC